UACGAAGGGGGCUAGCGUUGUUCGGAAUUACUGGGCGUAAAGGGCGCGUAGGCGGUGUGUCAAGUCAGGCGUGAAAGCCCCGGGCUCAACCUGGGAACCGCGCUUGAGACUGGCACGCUCGAGUUCGGGAGAGGAUGGUGGAAUUCCAGGUGUAGCGGUGAAAUGCGUAGAUAUCUGGAGGAACACCGGUGGCGAAGGCGGCAUCCUGGACCAACACUGACACUGAGGAGCGAAAGCCAGGGGAGCAAACGGG
rnacentral:rRNA from 1 species